GGAAACAGCUGCAAUAUGAUUUUAAUAUUUGCAAUAUAUUAGUGUUCUGACAAUGGGAAAGUACCUAACCGCAUGUCUGCAUUACACCUAUGACCCAGACUGUCAGAAUUGCAAACCUUAUAUGAAGACUCUGCUUUCACUGUUUAUGUAUACACCCCUAGACAACUGCUAUGCUAUACAUAUACAAUAAAUCUUCAAAAGCUUAUUAAUAUAUCUGUGUGGUACACAAAGAGGGGGUGUGAGUUAGGUAAUCUCGACCUGCAUGUGGAAUAUGCUUCCUCCUUGUUCACUUUUGGGCAAACUGUUGGUCUGUGACUGGCCCGCUUUGACCCCAACUGAAUUUCUUGGGAAGAUUCAUGAGAAAGAUACAGCAGGUUGUUUUGAUAUAAAGAAAGAGGGAAAAGUAUGUUGUAUCGGUCACAAAGGAUUGUGAUCUUAAGCAGGCGAGACACGGACAUUUGGGAGGUGAUAGGAGAUUGAAUCAGAAAAGUUUUAGAGGCAGAGGUAGAGGAUUUGAUCAAAGGGUCUAACUUUUGUAGAGGUGGUAACUUCAGCAGUGUUUUAAUUGUGGAUAGCAGGGGUUCACCCCAAGGUGCUCAUGGUGAACCCGGUUCUCCCGGUCAAGCUGGCCCCACUGGUACUCCUAGUAUUGCUGGUGCCCCUGGCUUCCCUGGUGCCUGUGGUGCUCCUGGACCUCAAGGCCCCGGAGGUUCCCCUGGACCUAAGGGUAACAAUGGUGAACCUGGUGCUCAAGGAAACAAAGGAGAACCCGGUGCUACGGGAGAUCCUGGCCCAGCUGGUGUUCAAGGACCCACCCUGACAGUUCCUCAAUACCAACCACAGCUUCCAAACUAUACCCACACCCAACAACCCCAGCCUAACUGAAUACACAGAUGGUUCAUGUUUUUAAUACUUUAUAGUUUUGAGUGAUAAAACAGUAUUAAUGCUGGCUCUUAGAGGAUGUACAAGCUGAAGUUGGGACAUAGACAUUGUUUGCAUAGGCUGCGCAAUGUGAAAUAGCUAAAAUAAAAUAGGAUAAUAAUAAGUAUGCUUAGUCAAUUUGUAACGUGGUAUCAUAGAGGCAUCUACAAUAAAACACGUGGGUUUCCAGGACCUGACAAGUGAGGGCAACUUAAUCUAACAUAUGUCUACAGUUUGCUGUCCCUUCCUUAUCAGAGGUCACUUGCAACCUUAACACAGCAAGACAACUCUUCCGAAACCUGUAUUAAACAAAGCACUUUAAAACAAUAGUAAUUCAUUUUGUUUCUCCUAUUUCAUUCCUAGUUGUUCUGAAAAAAAAAAGAUUGUUUAAGUGAGAUAACUGUACAGUAUUAAAACAUGAUCACACACAU